CACACAUGUUACACAGAAACAUGAACGUGCCCACUCAACUCCUUGGGUUGCUGCUACUCUGGCUUACAGGUGGUAAAUGUGACAUCCAGAUGACACAGUCUCCUGCCUCCCUGUCUGCAUCUCUGGAAGAAAUUGUCACCAUCACAUGCCAGGCAAGCCAGGACAUUGGUAAUUGGUUAUCAUGGUAUCAGCAGAAACCAGGGAAAUCUCCUCAGCUCCUGAUCUAUGCUGCAACCAGCUUGGCAGAUGGGGUCCCAUCAAGGUUCAGCGGCAGUAGAUCUGGCACACAGUAUUCUCUUAAGAUCAGCAGACUACAGGUUGAAGAUACUGGAAUCUAUUACUGUCUACAGGAUUAUAGUUCUCCUCCCACAUUUCUCCCAGGGAUGCAGGUAGAGAAGCAGGAGACUGUGUCAUCUUGGUAUCAUAUCUUGCACCUGAUAUUGGAAAUUGAAAACAAAUUUCACACAAAAUUUAUUAUGUCAUAUAUAAGACAACGUUUAUGGAGACUGUGGUGCACUAUCAACAGCCAUAUGUAUAACAUUGCAUCUUAUUCAGUCUUCUUUACCUGUAAGCCAGAGCAGCAGCAACCCCAGGAUCUGACUAGGAACACUCAUGCCUGUGUGUGA